GAACUCGCUUUGGCUGCACAUAUACAUCUGGAACAACGCAGAGAAGAUGAGCAUGUCCCCUGCGCACGGAUGAUACACAAAUUCAUGAAGCAAACCAUAUUUUA